UACGAAGGGGGCUAGCGUUGCUCGGAAUUACUGGGCGUAAAGGGAGCGUAGGCGGACUGUUAAGUUAGAGGUGAAAGCCCAGGGCUCAACCUUGGAAUUGCCUUUGAUACUGGCAGUCUUGAGUACGGAAGAGGUAUGUGGAACUCCGAGUGUAGAGGUGAAAUUCGUAGAUAUUCGGAAGAACACCAGUGGCGAAGGCGACAUACUGGUCCGUUACUGACGCUGAGGUGCGAAAGCGUGGGGAGCAAACAGG
rnacentral:rRNA from 1 species